CUCCAGCUUGUCCGGUGGGGGCGGCGCCGAGGCGGCCAUGGAGUGGGGGACCCGGGUUAGCGGCAGCGGCGGGGGAUGGAGGCGCCCUUGGGCUGCACCAUCGCCCAGAAGGGGUGUCAGGGGCAGCCCAGGCCCCCGAGCUGCAGCAACCACAAAGUGCGACGACAGGGAAGCGCCGAGCCGCCGCGCAAACUGCGCGCUCUCUCCAGACUCGCCGCCCGCCAGCGGCGGCAGCAACCGGAACCGGAACUCGUCGCGGCCACCACCACUGAGCGCUGCGGGGAGGGGGAGCAAGGACCGGACGAGACGCUACGCCUGAAAACAGGCGGCGGGCGAGGGACGAGGCUUACCACGGCACCACGCGAGUGGAAAGGGUCGUCUCCGCUAGCGGCGGCCCACACCAGCUCACCGAGGGGCGGCAGCGCGCGGCCCGGCUGCCGGACCGUACCAUCCCGGGCGGUGGAGCCGCCGCGGAGGGGCGCGCGCGAGCCGAAGGCGCACCCGGGAGGCCCAGGUAGCCCGGGGGCCGGUGCUGGGGCGCCGGGCAGGCCCGGCUCCCGCCUCGACCCACCCGGAGCCAGCCCCCUCUGCGGACACGACAUCCCCAUGGGGACGGUGGCGCGAAACGCCCCACUCUGCCGCACCCAAACUCUGCAGACCCCCAGCUUCCCUGGGCGGCCGCGACCUCCCGCCUCCCCGUCUGCCGCUGAGGGCCCGCGGCGUACACAAUAGGCUUCCCAGAAGGGUUAAGAGGCAGAGGUAGAAGAAAUACGGACUUUAAUGAAGAGUUUUCCCUUUGGUAUAAGUGAGACCCGUGGAAACAUCCAAACAGCAAAAGGAGGCCAGGAUGAAAACGGUCAACUCUCCCUUAUCCACAAGGCCAAAAGAGGGGGGGCCGGCUUGCUGUGGUGUGGCCACCCCGGGCCUAGGCUGGGCCGGGCCUGUAGAAGGUACUCAGGAACUGCAGGUUUUGCGUUUCCCCUCCAUGAAACUGACAGGCAUUCGGGCUGACUUCUGCCUCUCAGUCUCGCGGUAAGAGACCCAAGUUUUUCUAGUCCUAGAUGGAAAUAAAUUUCAUCUGCCUCA